rnacentral:rRNA from 1 species
GUCUACAGCCAUGCCACCCUGAACACACCCGAUCCCGUCUGAUCUCUGAAGCUAAGCAGGGGCAGGCCUGGUUAGUAUUUGGGUGGGAGAUCACCCUAGGAAGACUGGGUGCUGUAGGCG